rnacentral:rRNA from 1 species
CUACGGGGGGCUGCAGUGGGGAAUAUUGGACAAUGGGGGAAACCCUGAUCCAGCAAUGCCGCGUGUGUGAAGAAGGCCUGCGGGUUGUAAAGCACUUUCGGUUGGGAGGACUGCUUCUAGCACUAAUAUUGUUGGAAGUUGACGUUACCUUCAGAAGGAGCACCGGCUAACUCCGUGCCAGCAGCCGCGGUAAUACGGAGGGUGCAAGCGUGAAUCGGAAUUACUGGGCGUAAAGCGCGCGUAGGCGGCUAGAUCAGUCGGGUGUGAAAGCCCCGGGCUUAACCUGGGAACUGCAUCCGAUACUGUCUAGCUUGAGUACAGGAGAGGAGAGUGGAAUUCCACAUGUAGCGGUGAAAUGCGUAGAUAUGUGGAGGAACACCAAUGGCGAAGGCAGCUCUCUGGCCUGAUACUGACGCUGAGGUGCGAAAGCGUGGGGAGCAAACAGGAUUAGAUACCCUAGUAGUC